rnacentral:rRNA from 1 species
GGAGUUAGCCGGUGCUUCUUCUGUGAGUGAUGUCCUUCCUGCCGGUUAUUGACCCGCAGGCCUUCUUCCUCACUGAAAGUGCUUUACAACCCGAAGGCCUUCUUCACACACGCGGCAUGGCUGGAUCAGGGUUGCCCCCAUUGUCCAAUAUUCCCCACUGCUGCCUCCCGUAGGAGUCUGGGCCGUGUCUCAGUCCCAGUGUGGCUGAUCAUCCUCUCAGACCAGCUACGGAUCGUCGCCUUGGUGAGCCGUUACCUCACCAACCAGCUAAUCCGACAUAGGCUCAUCCGAUAGCGCGAGGCCCGAAGGUCCCCCGCUUUCCCCCGUAGGGCCGUAUGCGGUAUUAGCCUGGGUUUCCCCAGGUUAUCCCCCACUACCGGGCAGAUUCCUAUGCAUUACUCACCCGUCCGCCGCUCGCCACCAGGGAGCAAGCUCCCCGUGCUGCCGCUCGACUUGCAUGUGUUAGGCCUGCCGCCAGCGUUCAAUCUGAGCCAUGAUCAAACUCUGA